rnacentral:rRNA from 1 species
UACGUAGGGGGCGAGCGUUGUCCGGAGUUACUGGGCGUAAAGGGCGUGCAGGCGGUGCGGUAAGUUUAGCGUGACAGUCUCCGGCUUAACUGGAGAAGGCCGCUGAAAACUGCUGGACUUGAGGGCCAGAGAGGGACAUAGAAUUCCGGGUGGAGUGGUGAAAUGCGUAGAUAUCCGGAGGAAUACCAAAGGCGAAGGCAGUGUCCUGGGGAGUACCUGACGCUCAGGUGCGAAAGCCAGGGGAGCGAACGGG